GUACAUUUAUAGUGGUCAUCAUUGCAGAAAAAUGAAGAAUUCAGAACCCAACCGUAAACUCAAGACAAGCCGCAAAAAUAGGAAUAGAAACUCAAAGACCUUGGAACAGAAUUGCAGCAUGAAACCCAGGAGCAUGGACUCACAGGGGGCUCUUAAAUUCCAGGACCACCUCCACUGCAUCCACAGGCAGGUGAGGGGCCAUCCCCACCACCGUCUCUACCAGUGCCACCUCUACCCACAGGAAUUGCUCCUCCUCCUCCUCCAACUCCUUUAUCUCUACUAAAUGGUACACCAUACCCACCACCAUCACCUUUGUUUGGGUAUCUCCUGGUGUAACCUAAAACAUGAAGCAGAAAUAAAUGUAUAAAACUGACCUUCGUGAAUUGAUUCUCGAACUGCAUGACUUGAUUCUCCGUGAAGACAAUCAAAUUGUCAGCGGUAAAAUUUUGACUAAAGGUUUUUGACAUUUUUCUAACUCAUAGCUGUGUAAAAGUACGGAAUAUUUUCAGAGAACAUAACUGUUGACUCUAACUUUCCUUUGUGAGCUCACCAACUUAUGCUCCUCUUUCAGUGUAUAGCUCACCAAGUUAUGCUCCUCUUUCAGUGUAUAGUUUUCUCAAUAAGGUUAGCCCUCAGUAUCCGUCGGGGAUUGGUUCCAGGACCCCUGUGGAUACCAAAAUCAGCAGAUGCUCACGUCCGUUACAGUUGGCCCUCCAUAUCUGUGUGUCCAUAUCUGUGGAUGUGGAACCCGUGGAUAUGGAGGGCUGACUGUAAUUCUGUGUGUCCCCAGGCAAGUCAUCAAUUACUUAAAAGGUGCCAUAAUGUGAUCCCUCUGGGACUGCUAGAUGUCCUGAGGAUGAAUCCUCAGGCACUAAGCCAAAGAAUGCCGUUCGGCUGGAAGGAGCUAGCGUCCCUUCUCUUCAGAGCUGGACAGAUUUUUAGUCUCUUUGUCAAACAGUUUCUUAAGACUUUAUAUAUUAGAAACCUUCCCAAUUUUAAGCCAAAUUCAAAAGGUCACCCAACCCAGUUUACUUCAAAGUUCCCCUUAGGCUUUCCCUACCUAGGAAAUGACUCCUAGGUCCCUUUCACCUAGGAAAUGUACUGUUAUCCUCAGAUCUUAACGACGCAAAUAAAAGUCACAUGCCUCACUUAAAAUACGGAAGUCCAGAUAGAAGGAGGAACUCACCACAGCACCUGCAGAGUGCCAAGGGCUAGUUCAAAGUAGAUUUGGGUUUCUCAGAUAUUCGGCUAUGCCAAGCAAUGUCGACACAAAUAAUCAAAGCAAUCUACACUGAGGAAUAGGAGGGAGUUUUCUUAGUGGCAAGCUGAGGAAUAACUCUUAGGUAUAGCCUCCACCAAGGAAGAAAGCACCCCAGAGAAGCAUGGUUUUCAGCACAAUUUUGUAUCUCAUAAGAACAAAGAACACGUAACAAACACAACAGGUUUCUUCCUUCAAGGUUUCAACAGAGAUGAGGUUACAGAUAAGCAUGCACACAGUGAGCCAGCAUGAUCCUGGCCUCUGGGAAGGGAACCGUAUCUUUGAAGGCAUACUAGCAUUGGCAUGACAGGAAGGGAGACUACUCCUUAUCUUCAAAGUGGACAUUCUUUAAUGGUUAAAUCCGAUGAACAACGUGUAUUUGACGGCCAUGAGUCAAGCUGUUCUAGUUCAGAUGAAGUUCAGGCCAACAGAUUAAUUUCCAAAAUACACAAACAGCUCAUACUACUCAAUAUCAAAAAGACAAACCUCCCAAUCUAAAACCGGGCAGAAGACCUAAGAGGUAUUUCUCCAAAGAAGACAUACAGAUGGCCAACAGGCACAUGAAAAGAUGCUCAACAUCGCUAAUUAUUAGAGAAGCACAAAUCAAACGUACAAUGAAGUAUCGCCUCACACGAGUCAGAAUGGCUGUCAUCAAAAAGUCUACAAAUAAUAAAUGCAAGAGAGGAUGUGCAGAAAAAGGAACCCUCCUACUCUGUUGGUGAGAGUGUAAAUUUGUACAGCCACU